rnacentral:misc_RNA from 1 species
UACGGAGGGUGCGAGCGUUAUCCGGAAUCACUGGGCGUAAAGGGCGCGUAGGCGGUUUACUAAGUCAGGUGUUAAAGCGUGGGGCUCAACCCCAUAAGGGCGCCUGAUACUGGUAAGCUAGACGACUGGAGAGGGAGGUAGAAUUACCAGAGUAGCGGUGGAAUGCGUAGAUACUGGUAGGAAUACCCAUAGCGAAGGCAGCCUUCUGGACAGUUAGUGACGCUGAGGCGCGAAAGUGUGGGGAGCGAACCGG